rnacentral:rRNA from 1 species
CCUACGGGUGGCUGCAGUCGGGAAUUUUGGGCAAUGGGGGAAACCCUGACCCAGCAACGCCGCGUGAAGGAUGAAGUCCUUCGGGAUGUAAACUUCGAAAGAAUAGGAAGAAUAAAUGACGGUACUAUUUUUAAGCCCCGGCUAACUCCGUGCCAGCAGCCGCGGUAAUACGGAGGGGGCAAGCGUUGUUCGGAUUUACUGGGCGUAAAGGGCGCGUAGGCGGUUUGGUAAGUUACUUGUGAAAUCUCCGGGCUUAACUCGGAGCGGCCAAGUAA